rnacentral:rRNA from 1 species
AUUGAACGCUGGCGGAAUGCUUUACACAUGCAAGUCGAACGGCAGCACGGGGGCAACCCUGGUGGCGAGUGGCGAACGGGUGAGUAAUGUAUCGGAACGUACCCAGUCGUGGGGGAUAACUAUCCGAAAGGAUAGCUAAUACCGCAUACGUCCUGAGGGAGAAAGCGGGGGAUCGCAAGACCUCGCGCGAUUGGAGCGGCCGAUAUCGGAUUAGCUAGUUGGUGGGGUAAAGGCUCACCAAGGCGACGAUCCGUAGCGGGUCUGAGAGGACGACCCGCCACACUGGAACUGAGACACGGUCCAGACUCCUACGGGAGGCAGCAGUGGGGAAUUUUGGACAAUGGGGGAAACCCUGAUCCAGCCAUUCCGCGUGAGUGAAGAAGGCCUUCGGGUUGUAAAGCUCUUUCAGCAGGAACGAAACGGUCGGCUUUAAUAAAGUCGGCUAAUGACGGUAC